ensembl:lincRNA
UCCGUGUGGAUGGUGGGCAGUUUCCUAGCAAGACCGAGACCUGUCCUGGAGGAUGGAUCCUCGUCAGCAGCAACUUCUGAGACGCUUAGCAGAAGGAAGCAUAGCAGCGAAGGAUAUUUAAUGGAAAUUCCUGGGUGAUGCUUUAAACAUACACCAGGUGUUUCUGAUCCUGGAUGACUACGUGGGUGCUUUCAGAGCCUGGCAUUUCUGCCACCAUGCUUUACUGUUUAAUUUCUGAGCGUGAGAUAACCUUCACUGAGGCCGUCCUCACAUGCGUGUGAGAAGAGCGCUGCACGGAGCGGGUGGUGAUUACCGCAGAUGAAGCCAGGAAGGGUUGGAGGAUGCGGCUAGGGGCGCGGAGCUUGCUGAGCCGGGGUUCGCGCCUCAGUCCAGAGAAACAAGCAAACCAUGACUGAUGGGGGUAUCUUAGGCCAAUGCCGCCAUAGCCUGAGGCGUGGGGAGGUGCCUGGGUGCUGCUGUGGGUUCAGGAGGCCACGGCGGCUCUGUUGGUUCUUGCUGUGUUACAGGAACCUGUCAGAUUCAGGCAGCUGCUGGCUUGAAACUGCCUACAGAACCCAAGUCUUCACACAGUGAGCCGCAGCCUCCCCUGGAGUACAGCACACAGCCGAGCUGCAGCCACUCCUCUCCCCAGGUCCAGGGAAGGCAGGGCCUCCUGAAGCCAGUUAGGGCCAGCUCUGCCAUGUGGCCCCACUUCCGGGUCCAGUGCGGACUGAUUUGUUCUUUUCUCAAAUAAACUCUGCCGAUUUAUCUGUUUUCUCUACAGUGAGGCCUCAGGAGCGGGAUGGGAGGAGGCGUUCUCCAGUGACCCCGGGGAGCCUGAGUGACCACACCAGGAGGUUGCCAGAGGCCGUGCAGGAAGGAGCCAGUUGCAGGCACGGGCAAGCCUCACCCUCACCGCGGGGAAGGAGGGGUCUCCCGGCCGCCUGGAGGGGGCGCUCUCUGCAGCAGCGCACGGAGCGGAGGAGGCCUGGUAGGGAACCUGAAGUCCUGUGCAUACUACCUACCAUGUUCUCCCCUGCCUGCUCUCCUACCCGUGCUCUCUCUCACACACGUUUCGGAGAUUGUGGCUUAUCAGAUGAAAAUAUGAGUUGAUGUUUGGAAAUUGGGCAAAUUUAAAAAUCUGAAAAAUAUUUUCCACAAGUAUCAGUGAAAUGCCUAAACCGUCCAUGUGGGAAAUUUUGCUGCACUGGCCAAAAAUACACUUUGGCUCCAGAUACUCUAUAAAAGAUUAAUGAGUUCAAAUUAUUGAGUCAAGCCCAGGGCUUAGAAUUCUAGGUGAAAGCUGUGUGAUCUGUUUCUGUACACGUUUGUGUUUCUGCGUGUAUUUUUCUACCUCCAGAUGGUAAUGUGAAAGUUAAGUGGUAAAAGAGUUCUACUUCAUUGAUUUGAAGAAAUACAAGCAUUUACAUAGAGAUAGAAAACUCAAAAUGUUUUUGAAGCUCACAUGAGCUGAGAUAAUUUUCAGUAAAUAAAAGCUAGCUAAAAUGUUGGAUUGAUUAACCAUUAACCCAGGCCUGUUUCCUGACUUUUUAGCAUCAAAUGUAACACAGAUGCAUAAGGUCUCCUACCCACGUUUAUUAGUGAAACAUGUAACUGUUUCAGAGUUUGUCAGCAAGAAAUAAUACUUUAAGAUGACAGCUAGCUCUUUAACAUUUACCCACUUUCAUGAGCAAUCAAAGCACAAUCGUUGAAAACAACCGAGUUAAAUAGAUCUUGGUAACACAGACUUCCUCCAGGAAAGGUGUAUUACAGCUUUAGCACAUUGUUUAGCACAUUGAGAAAGAACAGCUGCAACUGAGUGAAAUCGGUCUUCACAAGUAAGAGCCCCGACUCCCUCUCCUCCCAACUCCAGAAAAAAGUUGAGAUAAGUUCGCCUCCUCUGCAGCUUCUUAUCAGAGAAAUGGAAGAAGCUGGAACAGUUGGAAGAUAUGUUCUGUGCAUACUGGAAAGCUUCACCACAAAAGCAAGGGCUUCUAGAAACAUGGUUCCUGGAUUUGCCAACCUGCGGAAAGCAUGCGCUAGAAUUUAAGGUCAUGGAGGGUUACUAAUUCUAAUGAGCACGUGUUGCUAAGAUGACUAGAAAUAAAAGUGCAAUCAACUCUAUACGCAAGUCUACGAGGAAAAUAAUAAUGGUAAGGAAAGGUAUAAGAACACAUGCUUUAUUAAAAGAAAAUGUCUAAGUUUUUUUUUUGUUAGUACCAGGGAUUGAACUCAGGUCCUAGAGCUUGUGAGGCAGGCAGCAGAACCACUGAGCUAAAUCCCGGCCCAGAAAAUGUCUAAGUUUUUAUGUAGAUUGUUCCAACAUGAGAAAGAGUAUGUGGCAAAAAGUGACAGAUGUAAGAAAGCUGUAGAAGAUUUAAGGAAAAGUAAUUUUUGGAAAGGGAUUUUAUGUGUAAUCAGCUGGGUAAGAUUUGAUGGGAAUUUUUUCUAAAAAUUGAGCAUUAAUGUUUGAAUAAGGGAAUGAUCCAAAACAGAAAUUGUAAAGAAUUGUUUGUCUUUACCUUUUAGAUGACUGGCUAGCAAGUAAAGAUCCUGUACUUUGUCAAGAUGAUUUCCUGUGCUUCAUUAGAACUUGUAUUACAAACUGGAGCUCUGCAUUGAAAGAGCCAAGUUUUUUCUAAGUAAUUUUCUGUAUUUGUUUUUGAGAUCUUUUAAUUAUCAUUCUGGUUAAUAAGUAUUAUUUCAAAGUGCCUGUGAUCCUAUUUUAAUACAAUAUUUUAAACAUUUUGGCAACUUCUCAAAAUCAAAUUCUAAAUUAAGACCUUCUGACCUCAACCUCACUUUUAAAAUUUCCAAAUGGGUUCCUGGGAUAGCUAAAAAAAUAUGUUCUCUGUAUAAAAAGCAAGAGGUUAAACUUCUUGGGCUUAUUUGAUAUGCUAUAUUGCAUAAGAGGCAUUGUCCAAUAAGGAGGCUAAAUUUUAGGUUAUACUGUUUGGGUAUGUUAACCGUGCUUCAUAAUGGGAGGAAUUUUGCGGAACCGGACAGACCCAGUACGGUGCCCUCAGUCAGUCAUGAUUCUGGUUAUUAUCUUAAGGGCAGUGUGUGACACAGAAACAACAGAAUGUCCUCAGUACUUACAUUAUAAUGAACUCUCAUCAUAUCUUUAACUGUAUCUAUUCUUAAGUCUGUCACCCACAGGCCAUGAUUAUUUUUCUCUGGCAAUUUCUGGAAAGCAAAUCCAAGCAACCAUAAACUAAAAGGCAGUGCUUCUUUGAGAAAAUUCAUGGAGGAGACUGACAGGUGCUGAUCUUGGAAACUUUAAGAUUACACCAUUGGACUGGGUCAGAAUUCUCAAAACUUAACAAAGAACAUGAUUGAGUCAAGUCUCAGUUACGUUCUCAUUCUUGUUGCAGGGACACUGUAACCUGCACCAAAAGGAGAAGUUGGGCACAUUCACAGGCCAGGUGGCUUCAAGGCAGAAGCCUCACAGUGGAAGGCCCUGCCCAGGAAAGCCGCUCACACCAUGACGACCAGGAGCAGAGGCCGGGAGGGAGAGAGAUGAUCUGGGUCUGGAUACUGCUCCGCCGCUGACCAGGCCCAACUUCCACAGCAAGUCAGCUACAGCCCACGAUUCUGCCUCCUUCUCAGAGCCCCGGUGAGUGCAUCAGGCCUUGGGGGACAUCCUAGGCUCAAACCAUGAGAGAUUAUAAAGUGAACACAACAUCAAACAGCCAGAAUGAUUGACAACUGAGGAAACAUC